CUUAUGGAGCAGAAGCAUUUACGACAAUUGAAUACUGAUAUAUCAUAAAACAAUCAGCAUAACCAGCUGGUAACGGUGUGGGUGCCCAGAGUGUCUUUUUUAACAGCUGGAUUUGACAAUGUUGUUCUUAAGUAUCAAAUCAGCAUUAAGAGAGGGCUCUCAGUCUCAGAAGAUUUCAUACUGACAUUUUUGCAAUACUGGCAAGCUUGAAGUUACCAAUGUGAAUUAAUUUGAAAAAGCUCUUUUAUGAAGCUACAUUGAUCAGAUUGCAAUUUAUGUGGCCCCAGAAUUAGGCCAAAAUAAGAUGUAAU